UCUCAUGGAUGGGCAAAGAAAGUAGUUUUUUGACUUGGAAGCUACUCCUGGUGAAGAUGCUAUGAA
rnacentral:pre_miRNA from 1 species